UAAGGUUUUAUCGCAGCUAAAUUAUCUGUUGCACUUAGCCAGAAACAGAAACAUUGGUUUGGUUGUUUCACAAUUGAAUCUUAGCUUCCAAAGUCCAACUGCUAUCGAGAAGUGCAUUCGUUGGGUUAUAGAUCAAACAUUUUCCGUCGAAAAUGCGCAGCUUUUGUUCUUGUGUGCUACUUUAGGUUACAUUGUGCCAAUUAAGGAGCAAUACUGCUUGCCUUUACCUAAAGAUGAAACAACGAAACAAGCAUUUGAUAAAUUGCUUCAAAAUCUUGCAAACUGUGCUAAACGAAAUUUUAGUAUUCCUGAAAAUUGCUUGCAUCUUCUCAAGAAAAGUGCUUAUACCUUGGUCCAAGGCAGUAGUAAUCCAGGAUGGCUUACAUUUGCUGCAUAUUUUAGGCACUUCUUUGGAAUGCAGUAUAUUCUAAGCGUAAAAAUGGAGCGAUGCGAAUAUAACAAAGAAGAUUUCUUCAAAUUGUUUUCUUUAAUGAUUAUCACUCUGCCUAGCAUCAGAAAAGUAAAACGUGACGAAGGUUCUUUCUUUAAGCCGUUCCUAGAACGUAUACUGCAAUUUGCUACUGAUGAUGAUGUCCUAUUUCAAAUGUUCCAAAAUCCAGAUGUGCGCCGUUUCUUUCCUUCGCAACGCGAAAGAGAAUAUUUCUUCAUUGAGUUUUACAAAGAUUGUCUGAAUGGUAAAACCGGCAACCUUGGUGAAAAACUGGAACAUCUGAAUAGACUUCCUGAGAACAUUCGUAGUAAAAUGUCUGGCCUGAUUUACGAAUAUGUGCAGCAGUUUAUUGACAAUGUUGAUGAACCUUUACCCAAGGAUAUGGAUGCUGUUUUUCACCUAAUUUCGGAGAGUUUAACAGAUGAAAGGUUUUACUAUCUUCUUGGAGAUCUAUCGAAAUCAUCGUCAGCGAGCCAUGAUGAUCUAUUGUUUCAACUAUUAAACGACAAAAGGUUUACAAAACUAUCAACUACUGAAAAAGUCAAGAUCUGCAAUUCCUGGGUGGAAACGAAAACACACUCAAGCGGUAAAAACAGUGGGAGAAUUAAAGGAACAUUUGAGGCAGUUGACAUUCUAAUAUCCUGCACACACAUUUCUUCAAAUGAUAAGCUUAUCCAGCACUUGUGCGAAAAUGCCUUCAAUUGCCUCUUACGCGAAGAACCUGUUCGUCUUAUUGAAGAAUUCAAAGAAAUUGAAAAUUAUUCAGUCCAUGUUCAGAAUUGUUUCCAGGAGCUCGUUCAAGAAACAUUGCACCGACAUCCAUAUCUUGUGACGAAUAAAGAAGUACUCCGUAAGCUCUGUGACAAUACAAGGUAAGCUGCACAUUUGUAUUGAUAGGCGUAGGAAACGGGGAGGG